AUUGAACGCUGGCGGCAGGCUUAACACAUGCAAGUCGAGCGGGGGAAGGUAGCUUGCUACCGGACCUAGCGGCGGACGGGUGAGUAAUGCUUAGGAAUCUGCCUAUUAGUGGGGGACAACAUCUCGAAAGGGAUGCUAAUACCGCAUACGUCCUACGGGAGAAAGCAGGGGAUCUUCGGACCUUGCGCUAAUAGAUGAGCCUAAGUCGGAUUAGCUAGUUGGUGGGGUAAAGGCCUACCAAGGCGACGAUCUGUAGCGGGUCUGAGAGGAUGAUCCGCCACACUGGGGCUGAGACACGGCCCAGACUCCUACGGGAGGCAGCAGUGGGGAAUAUUGGACAAUGGGGGGAACCCUGAUCCAGCCAUGCCGCGUGUGUGAAGAAGGCCUUAUGGUUGUAAAGCACUUUAAGCGAGGAGGAGGCUACUCUAGUUAAUACCUAGGGAUAGUGGACGUUACUCGCAGAAUAAGCACCGGCUAACUCUGUGCCAGCAGCAGCCGCGG
rnacentral:rRNA from 1 species